UCCGUAGGGUGCAAGCGUUGUCCGGAAUUAUUGGGCGUAAAGAGCUCGUAGGCGGUUUGUCGCGUCUGCUGUGAAAACUCGGGGCUCAACUCCGAGCUUGCAGUGGGUACGGGCAGACUAGAGUGCGGUAGGGGAGACUGGAAUUCCUGGUGUAGCGGUGGAAUGCGCAGAUAUCAGGAGGAACACCGGUGGCGAAGGCGGGUCUCUGGGCCGUAACUGACGCUGAGGAGCGAAAGCAUGGGGAGCGAACAGG
rnacentral:rRNA from 1 species